rnacentral:rRNA from 1 species
ACGGGAGGCAGCAGUGAGGAAUAUUGGUCAAUGGGCGGAAGCCUGAACCAGCCAAGUCGCGUGAAGGAUGAAGGUAUUAUGUAUUGUAAACUUCUUUAGCUGUGGAGCAAUAAUCUCCAUGUAUGGAGAGAUAAGAGUACACAGAGAAUAAGGAUCGGCUAACUCCGUGCCAGCAGCCGCGGUAAUACGGAGGAUCCGAGCGUUAUCCGGAUUUAUUGGGUUUAAAGGGUGCGCAGGCGGCUUUCUAAGUCAGUGGUCAAAUCGUGGUGCUCAACGCCAUCCCGCCAUUGAUACUGGAGAGCUUGAUUGCGGUCGAGGUUUGCGGAAUUCGUCGUGUAGCGGUGAAAUGCAUAGAUAUGACGAAGAACACCGAUUGCGUAGGCAGCAGACCAGGCCGUAAAUGACGCUCAUGCACGAAAGUGCGGGGAUCGAACAGGAUUAGAUACCCUGGUA